UGGGCCUUCCCGUGUGACGACGCAUGAUUGUAUUGUCCGGCCUUGAAUUGGGUAUAUAUACGCGAGUGAAAAUUGUGCGGUAGUAGCAGUGUUAUGUUCUCUGGCUAGUAUACUCACGUCAACUUCCUCCAAUAUAAGGGAAAAUUAAUAGUAACUCCAGUAUUCCUCAAAAACUAAGAUGAGUGACUGUGGAGGUGGACACCACGACUCUGGAAGUCAUCACCACGACUCUGGAAGUCAUCACUACGACUCUGGAAGUCAUCACUACGACUCUGGAAGUAAUCACCACCACUCAAAUGGUCACCAUCACCACCACUCAAAUGGUCACCAUCACCACCACUCAAAUGGUCACCAUCACCACCACUCAGGUGGUGACAGUGGUCUGGCCUCUGUUGCUUAUAGCUAUAGUUAUGGGUCCAGCAGCACCAGUAGCAGGACGGACCAGCACAAGAAGCACAAGGCUCGUCAACCACGGCGCCACAUUAAAAAUCAUUGUUGCUCUAUAUUUUGAGUGCUAACGACUACACAAGCAUCGCUGCUUCUCAACAUUGUAAAAAAAAUUAACUAUAAGACCAUAUAAAAACGGGUUGUUUCUUUGUAUUUACAAAACAAUGGAUCAGUUGGAGUCAUUCAAUGCUUUAAAUCUAUUUCAUUUUUAGUAUGAAAUUUAUGGUACUGUCGUAAUAAAUUUACUACAUCAUAGUCACAAAGCAUGUAAAACUAUUCAAAGUAUUUAUUUUCAUAUUCCGCAAAUCCAUUUCCAUAAUUUAUUCCGUGUUAUCAGCCUUAAGUGUAAGCAAAUUUUGACCAACGGGAAAAUAUCCCCACCAUUUACUCCGAAGACGAUGCUGGGUUCUUAUUCAAGCAAAUAUCCCAUGGAAAAAGAGGAGUGGCAUCCUUCCCAGAGAAGACGCUGCCUAUCCCUAUAUAAACCACUCAAACGUCAACACCACUUUCAGUGACCCAGUGUUUGGGAACAUGUAAAAAUGUUAUGCACGCAAUUUGCAGUUGUAAAACAAUGCAAAGCUCUUCUGUGGAACAUGCCAAGAACUAGACUGAAACACGGACUUCACUACCAAACAAGAAUGGCACAGCUUAUAAUAUUUUACAGAGUGGAUUGGUAAAUCAAGCUGAAAGCCUUGUCUCCUAAUAUCAUGUUCAUUUUCCCUCUAUAAUCUACAUUGUCCAGAAUUACUGUCACAUUUGGUUUGUUUUUGGAGAGGUUUGAGCUUUGCUCACGCCUCUCCACAGACAAAGGUAAUGGAGAGGUGUGAGCCUUGCUCACACCUCUCCAUCACAAUUGUCCACUUGAGGUUCAACAGGAAGAUAAUGAACAAAUAUAUCAUAUUAUCUCAUAAGUUUAAGCAACAUUAGUUAUUUGUGACUGAACAGUGAAUUAAAUAUUAAUAAAAUAAAUAUGAAGGUAAAUAA